CCUACGGGUGGCAGCAGUGGGGGAUAUUGCACAAUGGGGGAAACCCUGAUGCAGCGACGCCGCGUGUGGGAAGACGGUCUUCUGGAUUGUAAACCACUGUCCCCAGGGACGAAAAUGACGGUACCUGGGGAGGAAGCUCCGGCUAACUACGUGCCAGCAGCCGCGGUAUUACGUAGGGAGCAAGCGUUGUCAGGAAUUACUGGGGGAAAAGGGAGCGUAGGCGGGGAUGCAAGGUGGGGGUCAAGACUACCGGCUCAACCGAUAGUCGCACUCAAAACUGCAGCGCUGGAGUGAAGGAGAGGCAGGCGGAAUUCCUAGUGUAGCGGUGAAAUGCGUAGAUAUUAGGAGGAACACCAGUGGCGAAGGCGGCCUGCUGGGCUUUGACUGACGUUGAGGCUCGAAAGUGUGGGGAGCAAACAGGAUUAGAUACCCUAGUAGUC
rnacentral:rRNA from 1 species